CCCUCCGCGUCUCUUCCAACCGCACCAUUAACCUCAUCAGCGCCUUCCCUCACUUCCUGCUACCGCAGUUCCGCGUCUCUCUUCUCCGACGACACCAACGGCGCUUUAUCUUCAUCCCCAACUACACUAAAAUCAUCAUCCAACUGAGAAUCGAAUAGGAGAACCAUUCUAAUAGAGAAAUCACCGUCAAUAAAGAACGCGGGGAUUAACGAAAUAGUUCUGGAAGUCUCUCAAAUCGAGUUUCAAUAAUCCCUGUGGUUGCAUAAUGAGAGCAAGGACUAUCAUAGCUAGAAGUCUUUGGAAGGUAUUACAUACACGCCGUGUGAUAACUCUGGUACUGAAUGAACAGAGGCCUGAGAGGAUUGUGCUGUCAUUCCUCGUGCGCCCAGCUGGUCUCAGCAACAACAAGUGUAGAUGUAGGCAUUGGCUGUAGUUGGAUUGUGCUCGGUGCUUGGUCGCGGUCAGUCUAGACAGUGUUGUUGGCUCGAAAGAGCUGAGGCUAGCUGGUCAGGCAACAGAAACUGCAGCUGCGUCAAACUAUACCUCAGUAUCCUAGCUGUGGGUUGAUUUCAGUUGAAGCAAUGAGCCGGAGAAAUUUGUUGGUGUUGUUUGGAGUUGGUGGUUCCAUGGCGACAUCCGCAAAUCCCUACCACGAUUUGGUUCCAGUUAUACACGAUAUACGAAGCCAUAUUACAAAGAUGAGUUCCUCACUUUCUGACUGAUCCUUACUUAGCAUAUGUUUCACAACCUUUGAUCGUUCUAAAAAAAAAAAUUUGCAGCUGAACUUGCUUAACAUUGUGCCAGUGUUGCUCAUUGAUAGAGUUUAGCAGCCCUUUGCAUGUGAUUAUGUGAUGAAGCCCCUUGUAAAUGUAUACCUUCUUUCAGUCCGCACGUAUGCACGUAUCCACGAAGAUUUUUACUUUAUUUAAAACUUCUUAAAGUUGUAUAUGCUCGUACCUCAUCGAACUGAAAUUGAAAGAAAAGGGGAAAGGGAGGAUGCUAGCGCCAAGAAGCUUGCUAUUGUCAAGCAUAUUUGAUCCAUCUCGCGCCUACAACCCGACGCCCUCAAAGCUCAGCAAGGAUUGCUUCGAGAAUGGAUGAUGCUUGCCCAAAUUGCUCCAAACCAGUGCCAAAACAUAACAAAUAGGCAAGGUCUAGCCCUAGCUGCAACUCAGGGCAACCUCUGCCACAAUACAGACUAGAACGACUAAGGAGAAACUCAACUUGAUGUUCAUUUGAAUUUGGUGUAACGGGUCCGAUUGCAACAGCGAAGGCAGAGCAGUAUUCCUCCGCUAAAACACAGGCUAAAGAUUACACCUUCUAUAUACCUCUGAUUGCCUGCUAGUGAAUCAGCGCCAAGUGCCUUGGAUUGUUUUUCAGGGUCAACAACUUAUCUUUCAACCUCAGAAUAUUGAUUGUAGCAGCUGAUUUCCGAAUUCCUCCGACGCGUGCAUUGCAGCAACAACAUGGUCCAAGAGCCUUUAUUAGUAAUCUUCUUGCAAGCUCAAAGCAUACCCACUCGGCUGUUGGUGAAUUGCUAUAUGUGAAAGGUUGCUCGGAGUUUUGAAUCGUAAGCCUAACGAUCAGUAAGGUCAGGGGACGAUCAUACGGCUGCUAUGUACUCGCGACUUGGCCCCAACUGAUCUCAUCGGAAGCUAAAAUACCCGCUGCUCAAUGCAAAGAUAAGUUCCCAUUGCCUUGGUUCGAUAUUUACUUGACACUUAUCCUAGAGUUCCCUGUUGUGCUUGGGUGAGAAUUUAUGCAUAUCCUUAGGACUGUUUCUAUAAUGAUCACACAUUUCUGUUAAAAAGAGAGAGAGAGAGAGAGAGAGAGAGAGAGAGAGAGAGAGAGGAGGGGGUGCUUGAAUAUAGUGUUGAGCUUGCAUUAGCAUCCGACUGCCUAAUAUCUGUAGGAAUGUAUAUCUUGCUUUGAACUAUCACAUGCAUAUACACUAUGUAUACACCAAAAGCUCUCAUUGCCUUAACAGCAUAGUACAACAUCUUACACCUCGAAACUAAUGUGCGUCUGACCCUUUAGCACGAAAUAGCUUCUUGUUCUACUACUGCACUAUGAACAUCUUUUGUGUUUCACUUCACCUGCCUGAUUUUCUACUUAGCGCCUCCCCAAUAAUCGUAUCGCCUGUCUAACCACUAGCCCUAGAAAGCAUGCUCUCUUCUCGUUGCCCAUGUACAUUAUGCAAAAUGCAUGUUUCAGAGCUUGUCGAAUACUUCGGAAUUUUCUGUUUUGAUGAUAUUUUAAAGUAUGGAAGUCUUUGGGUCUACUAAUCUAUACGUAUGAAUCUAACAUCCUUAGCUAAGCUUUAUAUUGUAAUGUAUAAGCCUACAUAUGCGCGUCGAUAAGUGACAAUUUAGCCAUGCAAAACAUGAUGGAUACCCUCGCUUGUUUAUGUAUGUUCGUAUUUUGCGUCCAUGGACCUUGUAUGUUCGUUUAUGUAUUUUGUUUAUGUAUGUUCGUUUUCAUCUUCACCUGGUGAACAUAUUUUAUUAAGAAAGCAUCAGCUGCUCACUGUUAGUUCACGUGCCUAUCCCAUAUAUUUUAGCCAACUAAAAGCAUGAAGCGUCCAAUAUAAAACUUACUUGAAUAUUGAUAUUUGCCAUUCAUGAAAUGGGCAUGACAUCUAGUCACAUAUAUAGGUUGUCACUUUAUUUAUUUUUACAAAGCAUCAAUAUUAUCUAGUAACGUGCUCUGGCUACCAUGCUAGCAAGGGUCCAUAGAGGCCGCUUGCAUAAAUGCAAAUUUACAAAAGGCUACGGGAAUGCCAAAGGUGUCCGGGCUGACAAAUUUACAAAAGGCUACGGGAAUACCAAAGGCGCCCGGGCUGACAAAUCUACAAAAGGCUACGGGAAUGCCAAAGGCGCCCGGUCGGCUGACGAUUAUACAAAGUAGAAAUUAACGUAUAAUCCCAUAGUUGUUGGGCCUUAGACGUUUUAGUCCUCCCCUCUCAAGCCUGGUACUCUCCGGUCCAAAUUUACCCAAACUUAAAGGAGCCCGUCCUUUUCUGAACGAUUUAAUCCAAACCUUUUUUUUCUGAUGACGAAAUUAACCUCAUAUAGUCGUAUGGAAACCAGAAGUACAUUUCUAUUUCAUUUUUCACAGUCGUUUGGUUUUGACGACAAAGCUCUGCAGGGGAAAACAAUUUAGGUUUUAGUUAAUCAUCUCGUUUCAGCUCGAUUAUCGGAAGCGUUUCAACAAUUUUGGUCUAUGAGAUCUUAAUUAGAUUAUUCAAUCUAUCCACGAACACAUACCAGAUCUCAGAGUGAGACAGAGUGUUCAUAUUAUGAAGACGGGGACGUGUGAGUUUGGUUUAGAAAGUAAAUUCCAUCAUCCAAAUUCAGCUGGUGAUUCCAUUCUUGCACCGGCACCUACAUUUUAUUCCAUGCUUGUGCUACACUGCUACUAGUGCACAUUCAAUUGAUGAUGCUGCAAGGAUGAUUCAGUUUGGAGAUUCAAAUGUAAUGGUAGCUGGAGGAACAUAAUUCAGUGAUGCUUUAUCUAUAACAGGAUUUUGUAGGUAGUGAUCAUCCAUUUAAAAACCCUUCUUUUGCUCUCUGUCAGUCUCAUAUACCCAUGAUUUGCAAUAUCAGCUACAACCAAAUUAACGUAUCUUAUUCAAGUGCUAUGAGUCACUGGCUGUUGGUUAUGACAAAAAUUACAUGUGUACAUAUUGGUACACUUGUAAAAUAAGUGUGCAUUGUUGUGUACACGUGACAAAAAUUACAUGUGUACAUAAUAGUGCAGCUGUAAUACAAGUGUACAUUAUUGUGCACAUGUGAUAAAUUUCAAGCUGGUGGACAGUGGACAUUUAUCGCAUAAGAUUACAAUGGCUGGUUAUGGGUGUGGAUGGUCUAGUGCUCAUGCAACUUUCUGGUACUAUGGUCAGGAACAACAAAUGCAGAACUUUUGAGGGCCUCACUUAGUCCAGUAGAGUACAUUGCCUCACUGUUUAACUCAGAAGAUGAGUUGAAGAUGAUAGAGGAGGUUGUGAGCACAUUUUCUUUUGAAAUCACCUUAUGUUGCUAUGCUUGCAUUCCAAGAUGCUGCAACACGGUGCAAGGGGUAAACAUGUUGGUGUAUCAGAGUAACUCUCAUGAAGAAGUAGGUCCGAGUGGGUGUAUGAGUGACUAUUUUCAUGCAUGUUUUGUAGGUGUGUACAAAAUGGUGCACAUGUGAAAAACUGAUUGCAUAAGCUUAUGAAUUUCUGUGCAUGAUUUUUUUUUUGUACACAGUUAAUUGAGCGAUAAUUAAAUUUUUAAAAACUCAAAAUUAUAUAGACAUAUGGGUACUCUUUUUGUAGAUUUCGGAAAGAGCUUUCCAAAUAUGUAAAGUUUGUGAAUUUUUGAUGAACGGUGUGAAAGAUAAAUCAUUUUUAAAUA